rfam:Strigamia maritima strain Brora ctg7180001228835, whole genome shotgun sequence.
UCCCAGGUAGCUUAAUGGUAAAGCAUCCAACCCGCAAUUGGGAGAUCUGGGUUCAAGUCCCGGUCCAGGCU